rnacentral:rRNA from 1 species
UACGAAGGGGGCUAGCGUUGCUCGGAAUCACUGGGCGUAAAGCGCACGUAGGCGGAUUGUUAAGUCAGGGGUGAAAUCCUGGAGCUCAACUCCAGAACUGCCUUUGAUACUGGCGAUCUCGAGUCCGGGAGAGGUGAGUGGAACUGCGAGUGUAGAGGUGAAAUUCGUAGAUAUCAAGCGGAACACCGGUGGCGAAGGCGGCCUUCUGGACAGUGACUGACGCUGAGACGCGAAAGCGUGGGGAGCAAACAGG